rnacentral:rRNA from 1 species
GAUGAACGCUAGCGGCAGGCCUAACGCAUGCAAGUCAGGGGUAACAUAGGAAAGCUUGCUUUUCUGAUGACGACCGGCGCACGGGUGCGUAACGCGUAUACAACCUACCUUUUAGCGGGGAAUAGCCCAGGGAAACUUGGAUUGAUGCCCCAUAGUAUAUAGACUUCUCCUGAAGUUUAUAUUAAACAUUUAUGGCUAUUAGAUGGGUAUGCGUCCUAUUAGUUAGUUGGUAAGGUAACGGCUUACCAAGGCAGCGAUAGGUAGGGGUCCUGAGAGGGAGAUCCCCACACUGGUACUGAGACACGGACCAGACUCCUACGGGAGGCAGCAGUGAGGAAUAUUGGACAAUGGGCGAGAGCCUGAUCCAGCCAUGCCGCGUGCAGGAAGACUGCCCUAUGGGUUGUAAACUGCUUUUACAGAGGAAGAACCACCCCCACGUGUGGGGGUUUGACGGUACUCUGCGAAUAAGGAUCGGCUAACUCCGUG